GACGAACCGUGCGAACGUUGUUCGGAUUCACUGGGCUUAAAGGGCGCGUAGGCGGGCGGUCAAGUCGGGGGUGAAAUCUUUCAGCUCAACUGGAAAAGUGCCUUCGAUACUGACUGUCUUGAGGGAGGUAGGGGCAUGUGGAACUUCCGGUGGAGCGGUGAAAUGCGUAGAUAUCGGAAGGAACGCCGGUGGCGAAAGCGACGUGCUGGACCUCUUCUGACGCUGAGGCGCGAAAGCUAGGGGAGCAAACGGG
rnacentral:rRNA from 1 species